CGUUGAAAUAACGGUUCUCAUACGAUCACCGAAGUUAAGUAAUAUCGAGUCUUGUUAGCACCUAGAUGGGUGACCGUUUUGGAAUACCAAGUGCUGUAA